rfam:Oryctolagus cuniculus chromosome 11, whole genome shotgun sequence.
ACACAGGCUUUGUUGAAAGCCAUCAUUUUUAUACAUGGAUUUUUCU